rnacentral:misc_RNA from 1 species
UUUCCGUAGGUGAACCUGCGGAAGGAUCAUUACCGAAUUGUCAACAAGAGUUGUUGCUGGUCCCCAUACGGGGGCAUGUGCACGCUCUGUUCACACAUCCACUCACACCUGUGCACCCUCUGUAGUUCUAUGGCCUGGGUGGGCUCUGUCCUCCCGCUGUGGUUCUACGUCUUUACACACACACUACAACAAAGUCUUAUGGAAUGUAUGUCGCGUUUAACGCAAUGAAAUACAACUUUCAGCAACGGAUCUCUUGGCUCUC